rnacentral:rRNA from 1 species
AACGUAGGAGGCAAGCGUUAUCCGGAUUUACUGGGCGUAAAGCGCGUGUAGGCGGCUCGGAAAGUUGGAUGUGAAAGCUCCUGGCUCAACUGGGAGAGGUCGUUCAAAACUUCCGGGCUCGAGGAUGGUAGAGGGAGGUGGAAUUCCGGGUGUAGUGGUGAAAUGCGUAGAUAUCCGGAGGAACACCAGUGGCGAAAGCGGCCUCCUGGACCAUUUCUGACGCUCAGACGCGAAAGCUAGGGUAGCAAAC